rnacentral:rRNA from 1 species
CCUACGGGAGGCAGCAGUCGAGAAUCAUUCACAAUGGGGGAAACCCUGAUGGUGCGACGCCGCGUGGGGGAAUGAAGGUCUUAGGAUUGUAAACCCCUGUCAUGUGGGAGCAAAUUAAAACGAUAGUACCACAAGAGGAAGAGACGGCUAACCCUGUGCCAGCAGCCGCGGUAAUACAGAGGUGUUAAGCGUUGUCCGGAAUCACUGGGCGUAAAGGGUGCGGAGGCAGUUUCGUAAGUCUUGUCUGAAAGGCGCGGGGUCAAAACCCGGACGGCACAUGAUACUGGGAGACUAUAGUAAUGGAGGGGGAACCGGAAUUGUGGGGGUAGCAGUGAAAUGCGUAGAUAUCGGGAGGAACACUCGUGGCGAAGGGGGGUUCCUGGACAUUAACUGACGCUGAGGCACGAAGGCCAGGGGAGCGAAAGGGAUUAGAUACCCCUGGUAGUC